rnacentral:lncRNA from 1 species
UCUAAUGGAAAUGACUUCAUUCAGCUGGUGAAUAUUUUGGAAGAUUCCAGAAAAAUAUGAACAAGUGUAUGAGUGCUCUUAAGGGGAUUGUCUGACAUCUUGGCUCCUGACUCAUCCUUAGAAGUCUUCCAGCCACCUUGUACCCAUUUCAAGCCCAAGGGCUCUUUAAUGAAAAUGAGUUACUGAGCAGAGUGUGGCAGGAGAUGGCCACUGGAGAGGCUGAGUCAAAUCAAUCUCCUCACCUGAGGACUUCCUGAGACCAGCGCACCGAAGGACCAGCAACAACAACAACAAUAAUGCUAAUGCUCCCUUAUGGACAGGACUGCAAUUCUCUGCCUGCUGAAGCUCAGCUAUGACCACGUGACUUGCCUUGGCCAAUGAAAGAGGAAGAGCAUGUAACACUGCUGAACGGAAGCAAGCGGCCCCUGCCCCUGCUGCAGAGAUUCUAUACGUGUGUGCCAUGCUGGAGCAAGGAGGCAGGGAGUCCUGGAGAAAGGAGACAUGGAACAGAGCUCCCAGCCCAGUCUAUAUGUAACAUGAGUGAGAAAUAAAUAACA